AUUGAACGCUGGCGGCAUGCCUUACACAUGCAAGUCGAACGGUAACGGGCCUUCGGGUGCCGUCGAGUGGUGAACGGGUGAGUAAUACAUCGGAACGUGUCCGCUCGCGGGGGAAAACGAGGCGAUAGCUUUGCUAAUACCGCAUACGAUCUAAGGUUUAAAGCAGGGGGCUGCAAGGCUGUGCGCGGAUGUUGCGGCCGAUGGUAGAUUAGGUAGUUGGUAGGAUAAAAGCUUACCAAGUCAACGAUUAGUAGCUGGACUGAGAGGAUGAUCGGCCACACUGGAACUGAGACACGGCCCAGACUCCUACGGGAGGCAGCAGUAGGGAAUUUUGGACAAUGGGCGCAAGCCUGAUCCAGCCAUGCCGCGUGCGGGAUGAAGGCCUUCGGGUUGUAAACUGCUUUUAUACGGGACGAAAAGCCUUCUAAUAAAACAGGAGGGUCAUGACGGUACCGUAACAGAAAGCACCGGCUAACUACGUG
rnacentral:rRNA from 1 species